UGUUAAUCAUUGAUUUGUAGCGCUCGCC
rnacentral:piRNA from 2 species